CCUGGACGAGGAGAGAGUGCGGCUGCUGAGAGCCGAGCCCAGCAAUCCCGAUCCUCUGAGUCGUGAAGAAGGGAGGCAGCGAGGGGGUUGGGGUUGGGGCCUGAGGCAAGGCUGAGGCCUCCGUAGAAGACAGCGCGUUGCUUAUGCAGACCUUGAUGGAGGCCAUCCAGAUCUCAGAGGCUCCACCUACUAACCAGGCCACCGCAGCUGCUAGUCCCCAGAGUUCACAGCCCCCAACUGCCAAUGAGAUGGCUGACAUUGAGGUUUCAGCAGCUGCCGCUAGGCCUAAGUCAGCCUUUAAAGUCCAGAAUGCCACCACAAAAGGCCCAAAUGGUGUCUAUGAUUUCUCUCAGGCUCAUAAUGCCAAGGAUGUGCCCAACACGCAGCCCAAGGCAGCCUUUAAGUCCCAAAAUGCUACCCCAAAGGGUCCAAAUGCUGCUUAUGAUUUUUCCCAGGCAGCAACCACUGGCGAGUUAGCUGCUAACAAGUCUGAGAUGGCCUUCAAGGCCCAGAAUGCCACUACCAAAGUGGGCCCAAAUGCCACCUACAAUUUCUCUCAGUCUCUCAAUGCCAAUGACCUGGCCAACAGCAGGCCUAAGACCCCCUUCAAGGCUUGGAAUGAUACCACUAAGGCCCCAACAGCUGAUACCCAGACCCAGAAUGUAAAUCAGGCCAAAAUGGCCACUUCCCAGGCUGACAUAGAGACCGACCCAGGUAUCUCUGAACCUGACGGUGCAACUGCACAGACAUCAGCCGAUGGUUCCCAGGCUCAGAAUCUGGAGUCCCGGACAAUAAUUCGGGGCAAGAGGA
rnacentral:sRNA from 1 species